rfam:Enterobacter cloacae S611 EDP2.NODE_1892, whole genome shotgun sequence.
ACCCUUCCGGUUGCAGCCUGAGAAAUCAGGCUGAUGGCUGGUGACUUUUUGGUCACCAGCCU